UACGGGGGGGGUAAGCGUUGUUCGGAAUUACUGGGCGUAAAGGGCUCGUAGGCGGCCAACUAAGUCGGACGUGAAAUCCCUCAGCUUAACUGGGGAACUGCGUCCGAUACUGGAUGGCUUGGAUUUGGGAGAGGAUGCGGAAUUCCAGGUGUAGCGGUGAAAUGCGUAGAUAUCUGGAGGAAUACCGGUGGCGAAGGCGGCAUCCUGGACCGACAUUGACGCUGAACGGCGAAAGCUAGGGGAGCAAACGGG
rnacentral:rRNA from 1 species